rnacentral:rRNA from 1 species
CAGCAGCCACGGGAAUACGAAGGGUGCAAGCGUUAAUCGGAAUUACUGGGCGUAAAGCGCGCGUAGGUGGUUUGGUAAGAUGGAUGUGAAAUCCCCGGGCUCAACCUGGGAACUGCAUCCAUAACUGCCUGACUAGAGUACGGUAGAGGGUGGUGGAAUUUCCUGUGUAGCGGUGAAAUGCGUAGAUAUAGGAAGGAACACCAGUGGCGAAGGCGACCACCUGGACUGAUACUGACACUGAGGUGCGAAAGCGUGGGGAGCAAACAGGAUUAGAUACCCCCGUAGUCCCUGUCUCUUAUAC